CAUUGGCAGGGCCUGGAGCUCAGCCUCAGACAGAAAAUUAGACUACGAUGAAUUUUUACCUUGCAUUUUGAAGAUAUACCAACUUUCUUCUCUGCCACUGGGCUUACAUUCUUCACGGGUAAAAGUAGAAGGUUGGACUCAAUGGCCUCUGUCAUGCCUUCCUUCUGGCUUUUACACCCCAGAUUCUACAGAUCCUGUCUCUGGCCAACAGAACACCCUUAAAAUUACUCAAGGAAGAAGAGGGCCAAGCCUGAAAAGAAUCCAUCUGGUGACGGCCAUUGACAAGUGCCUGGAGCAGUGAUUUAUUCUUGAAGAAUGCCCUUUCCCUGUUGAUGCUUAGUCAGCAGGGACAGCUGCUGGAAGAGGCAUGGGUAGGAUAAUUCGUAAGUCAUUUUUGGUAGAAUAUCAGGAAUCAGUGCUCAGUGAGGUGGGAGAAGUCUACAUACUUACAUAAAAUCAUAAACUACCUUAAGAAUAGAUCAAACAACAUGCAAUGCACACUUCCAGAAAAGUCUCGAGCCUCAAAUCACUAGCUCCAGUUAUGAAAGAUUAC
rnacentral:lncRNA from 10 species